GGGGGUUUGCUAUGAUUUUUUUUUUAUAUUAUUUUAUAAAUAGAUAGAAGAAAUCUAGAUGAUACAUUUUACUGGGGUAUUUAAAAAAUUUUAUUUUUAAUAGAUUAGCAGCAUGUAUAAGUCUAGAUCUUGAGAUAGAUCUGCAAUAUCUCAUCAGUGCAAAAAAUAUUCUUAUUGUUGUCUUGUGCGACAUUGUUGCCUUAUGCGACAC
rnacentral:lncRNA from 1 species